CAUGAUAUUUCCCUCGUUCCACUUUAGGCUCUCGAUUGUGGUCCAAUACUGCUUGUUAAGCAUUUUCCUUUUUGGCACAUAUGCUACGUGAUUUUGGGGUUCUGUUCAUACGAUCUAUUUCAGAGAAGUAGAUAUACGAAAGGGUGUUCAGAAAGAUGGAGCAACAACUCUCUUCUCUUUCUUAUUUCUUCUACGCAAAGCAUCUUCGUAAAUGACAGGGGGAGAAGAAAGAAAAAGAGUACAUGUUCUAGACAAAGGGAGCACACUUGAAAAAGGGAAGUAACCAUACAAGAACCAGCUUCAAGACAGGGGGAGCACACUUGAAAAAGGGAAGUACCCAUAAAUUAUUCAAACACUUUUUAGAUCAUCAUCAAAAAGGGAGAUUGUUAAGUUUAGAAUUUUAAUAAUGAUCAAUAAUCCAAAAGAAGCUUUGACUAAUGAUAUAUUCUUGUAUGCAGGAAAGAAGGAAACAAUGAUGAUAGAAGGAAAGAAGAUCCUAUUCAACGGCUAUGUAUUUUGAACUUGGCUAUAUAUGGAAAAUAAAUCAAUCAGCCCAAGAACAAAGAAGGAAAGUCAAUCAAUCAGCAUUGUUAAAGAUUCUCAAAUAUGCAAGAAUGGGAAGAGAGCUAAUCACGGCCGGAGAUCAAAUCUAGAAGAUUCUGCAGAAGCUCAAGUCAAGGAGGAAUGAAGGAAGCCAUUUGUCAAGAUUAUCUCAAAUCAAGGAGGAAUGAAGGAAGCCAUUUGUCAAGAUUAUCUCAAAUCAAGGAGGAAUGAAUGAAGCAAUUCGUUAAGAAUAAAGAUGAAUCUAGAUACCAUUUCAAGCUAGAUUCAUGAGGCUACCCUUGGGUCUUUAUCUUAGAUGUAUAUGCCUCACAUGGAAAGGACUUCUAGAAUUGCUUCAAUACAAUCCCAGAACACAAGGAAGCAGAAGACUCAUCAAGCUAUAAAGGAAGAAGUAGAAGAACAUUCAAAGGCGCGCAACUACAUAAUCUGUUUCUAAGCCUUUUAAGUUCUUAGUACAGAUACUGUAUUCUUGAGUCUAAAAGUGUCACAAAAUAUAUGAAGAGUUAGAGAGAGUUAUGUCAACAUUAAAAAUCA